rnacentral:misc_RNA from 1 species
AGAAACCUUUCUGUUACUAUCUAGAAACGAUGAUAAAAAUUUCAAAAGGGAUACUCAAUCCCUUCUAUUUUUUUUUAUUUUUUUUUUUUCUCUAAGACAAUGCCUAUAUACUACUUCUUCAAAUGUCUAUAUCUCUGCUCGUGGACACUACAUUUUGUUGUAACUUCGUAGAAACCUUUCUAUUACUGUCUAGAAACGAUGAUAAAAUUUCAAAAGGGAUACUCAAUCCCUUCUAUUUUUUUUUUAUUUUUUUUUUCUCUAAGACAAUG